rnacentral:tRNA from 1 species
GAGGGCAUAGCUCAGUGGUAGAGCUCAUGCUUAGCAUGUAUGAGGUCCUGGGUUCAAUCCCCAGUACCUCUC